AAUGAAACGCCAAUCUCUCUCCCUCGUUCCAGUAUAUUCCACGCACGGCAGCGGAAGAGAGGGAGGGACUUCGAAUUCCCCAUUUUCUGCCUCUGCGGUCAACGUCAAAUUGCCUUCCCCUCUCUCAUGAGCAUGAGCCUCUGAGCAUGAUCCAUUUCAAGAUCAAGAGAAGCGGAAUAAUCUUGGCUUUUCUUGCUUUCAUCUUCUUGCCGUCUGUUCGAAUUUUGAUGAUCAGGUGUUUUCGUUGGCUGCUUUCUUGUUCCCACUGUUCUUCUGCUUGUCGAUGAUGGGGUUAUUCAGCCGAAUCACGUUUUUUUUUUUGGCUUUUUUUCCUUUACCGAAAGAAUGAAUCAUCCUUCCUAGGAGGACCCAGAUCACGAUUUUCUUCUCUGAGUGAGUGAUCUACUUGAGGUAGUUUGUGUUUCUCUAACUAAAGAAGCUCCUUUUAAAACUCUUUUAUCAAAAAGGAGGACAACAUCAAGCAUUGGUCAUUUUGAUUCUCACCCUUCCCUUUUUCUUUGUGGGGAUCAGGGAUGUUCAACAGUGCUUAAAGAGAGAGAGGCUUGGGAGUUUGUUAAGGCUCUUGGAACUGUUCUUCCCUCCAAGUUCUUGGAGUUUAGGAAGCUCCCACAUUUGACUGAUGUUUCAUCUCAGCUUUCAUCCCAUUUCUUGUUCUUCUUGGACCCCGUUUCUAGAGUGGUUCAUGAAGGCGAAUCUUCCUGUUGUCAAGUUGUUCCUUGUUUGUUUUCUGCUUUCCCUUUCUGCACACUUUCAUAUGCGAUGCUUUGACCUGUUGAUAUUUUCUUGUUCGGAGCUUUUCUGCGUAACCUUGAGUUCCACCCCUCAGCAACCCGCGAGACGGAGGUUUGGCGAGCCAAUCACCACGAGCUCAUCAAGACGCCAGCACUGCGGGAUGUUUCUCUACGCAAGAUAUGCCGUAACUCAGCACGAGCCAUUUCAAGGAUCGGUCACGAACCUCGCGCUCAUAACCUUCAAUCCUCACUUCCCUUUGUGACUCAGCCGUAUGAAUAUUAUCGUCCUAAUCCGGAAUACACAAUGGGAUCAUCAGUUGCGUCAAGCCAAAGGGUGCUAGAAAGUGAAAAAUCAACGAGCUCUCAUGGCAUAUGUAGAUUUGACAGAGCAAGUGCCCGAAAAUUCUGGUUCUUAUUGCCAUGACUACUCAAAGAAGUCUUUGCAAAGUUCUGGGAUGCUGAAAGUUCAUGCAUUUUCACACGAAUUUCUGGCUGUGAACAUCAACAAGCUUCUCUGUAUUCCGUGCGGAAUGCUCCGUGCGUCAACAAUGAUUAGCAGCUAAAACUUCAAGGUGAGUACUUUCAAAACGCUAGAACUAGAAAUAUACCUUUGGCGUUUGAUUGCAGAAUAGUCAACUUCGGGGAUAGCGACAGUCUCUUCGUCGCCUGUUGUUGCUACCGUUUCUCCUGCCUGUAGGCAACAAAACUUAAUCAGAGUUUUCGAUGGGCGUAGCCAUUUGACUUUGCGGUUGGAUCUCGAUCCUUGAGCCAGUUUAUAUGAUUCUGCACUUCAAAAGUUACAGGGGCAAAGAGAGUGGAAUGACCCCAUAUCGUGCAGGAACCUUCAGAAUCAUGGCUGGCACGUAGCUACAAAUAGCUUACAGAGACCAAAAGAAAGAAAUUGUCUCUGCUUUGUCAGGAAGCGCUGACCCUAAUUUCCUAGAACAAAAGUGAAUGCAGCAAACGUUUGACCUAUUUUCUUGGCUACUUGGAACCUCGUUGCACGACAGCAUACAAACGGACAAGUGUACAGGCACGCACAUGCACACUCCAACACAGCGAUGGCCGGUGCACACAGACGCUGCUGAAGUCGUGAGCUAUAGAGUAGAAGCCAAAACAUUCCUGUUGUCUUACCUAGCACCCUGUGAAACUUCCCAGAGUGCCACGCCUGUGCUCAUGCUGAACGCCCCCAGGUAGCAUAUCAUAUGAGCUCCUGGAAUUUGCAACGGUGACAUUAUAGUAAGGAAAUACCUGAUUCAUUGCAACAAAUUUCCAUAUCGUUAGAAGGUCACCCCUCUCUUUGCGUGACAUUGCAAGCUCGGGGAAGCUAAUGUCGUGGCAGUGGCAGGUUCGGACUGCAACACAACCCACGUCUGCUGGCAACAACAACCAAGCAACGGCUCAUACAAGAGGUAUCAAAGUGCUCGAUUUGUUUGGCACGGCAUCCUAUUGAAUACAUGGCAAUGUUCACUGAAAGUAUAUCUAUGCUCAUGACGAUAAUAACUAGCAUUUGAAAGAAGUUUCCACGAGUGCUUGUAUCGACAACAGUACAUUCUCUUCUGGCAGAAGUCACAUGAGACUCCUUGAACGAAAACUCUCCCUCAAUUUCCAUAUCGUAUAGAUGAACAUGCAGGACUGAAUGUUCAGGCAUCAAUGUUCUACGCAUUUGGUACUCUUGUAUCUGCUUACUUCCGUAGUUUUGCCUUCAAUUUCCAUCUGGCCCAGUUAGGCAAUUAUGCAUCAAAUAUUGUACAUCCGACUAUUAUCCAAUUCGGGCAUCAACCCACCAGGAUAGUGAUUUUA